rnacentral:rRNA from 1 species
AAUAAAUAAACAAGGCCUAUUUUAGCUAUAAAAUAUCUUAAUACUAAUUAGAUAAAACAUUAUAUGGUUAAGUAAAGGUGAUUAAAAUUUGACUAAUAAGGCCGACGAAAUAGUACUGAGAAGGAAUAAAUAAAGUAAAUAAAAGAAAAGAAGAAGAUAACAUUCGUACCUUUUGUAUCAUGGUUUAGCUAGAAGAAACUUUAAAUUAAAGUAUCUCGAAAUCUAAUGAGCUAUUUUAGUUUAUUAUAUUAGUAACAUAAGAAGUAGUUGUGGCAAAAACUUUUUAAAAAACCAAAAUAGAAAUGACAUUUUUUUCGUAUUAGAUGAUAGCUAGUUUUUCCAUAAAAGUAUAGAAGUACUUAAGGCUGAGAAUACUUUAUAGUAAAAUUAAGUUAUUCUAAAGAUCCAGUUUUAGUAGAUUCUAGAGGAUGAGCUCUAGGAUAAAACCUGAAAUUUUAUAAAAAUUUUUUAUUAAAUUUAAGCUUGAAAAUAGCUUUAAUGUUAGGAUUUUGUUAUAAUUUCAUUUUAAUUUUUAAAAUAAAAUUAAUCUAUUUUUAUUAAUGGAAAUAAUGUUAGAAAUAAAAAUAACUUAAAUCAAUGCUAAAAUGAGUAUUUUAAUAUUUUAUAUUUAUUUGAUUAGAAUUAAAUUAGAUCAAAUAAGACUAUGAAUUUGAAUUAUAUAACUAAAUUACAUAAAGGAACUCGGCAAAUCUAUGUUCCGCCUGUUUAUCAAAAACAUGGCUCCUUGGAUCUUUUAUUAUAAGGAGUCGGACCUGCCCAGUGAAUAUUUUUAACGGCCGCGGUACUCUGACCGUGCAAAGGUAGCAUAAUCAUUUGCCCUAUAAUUGAGGGCUAGUAUGAAUGGUUUGACGUGAACAAAGCUGUCUCUAUGUAAUUUUCUAGAAUUUGAUUUCUAGGUGAGGAAACCUAGAUAUAAUUGAAAGACAAGAAGACCCUAUUGAGCUUUAAAAGAGUAAAUUGAAAAUAAUAUAUAUUCUUAAAUAUUAAUCUAUUUUAGAUUUUGGUUGGGGCGACUAUGGAACAAACAAAGCUUCUUUAUAAUUAAUAAAACUUACAGGUCUUGAUCCAAAGAUUUUGAUUAAUGGAAUUAGUUACCAUAGGGAUAACAGCAUAAUUUUCUUUGAGAGCUCUUAUCGAAAAGAAAGUUUGUGACCUCGAUGUUGGACUAGAAUGUCCUGAAGAUGCAGCAGUCUUUAAGGGUUGGUCUGUUCGACCAUUAAAAUUCUACAUGAUCUGAGUUCAGACCGGCGUGAGCCAGGUCAGUUUCUAUCUUCAAUUAUAAAAAUUUGAGUUUAGUACGAAAGGACCAAUUCAAAGUAAAAUUUUACAACAAAAGAUAUAAUAUAAUUUAAGGAUAAAUAAUUUUAUAUUUAUAGA